rnacentral:rRNA from 1 species
CAGCAGCCGCGGGAAUACGUAGGGUGCGAGCGUUAAUCGGAAUUACUGGGCGUAAAGCGUGCGCAGGCGGUUUGUUAAGACAGAUGUGAAAUCCCCGGGCUUAACCUGGGAACUGCAUUUGUGACUGGCGAGCUAGAGUAUGGCAGAGGGGGGGUAGAAUUCCACGUGUAGCAGUGAAAUGCGUAGAGAUGUGGAGGAAUACUGAUGGCGAAGGCAGCCCCCUGGGCCAAUACUGAUGCUCAUGCACGAAAGCGUGGGGAGCAAACAGGAUUAGAUACCCCCGUAGUCCCUGUCUCUUAUA